GCCAGGUGUGGUGGUGCAUGCCUGUAAUCCCAGCUACUUGGGAGGCUGAGGCAGGAGAAUCACUUGAGCCCAGGAGGCGAAGGUUGCAGUAAGCCGAGAUCAUGCCUCUGCACUCCAGUCUGGGCAACACAGUGAGACCCUGUCUCAA
ensembl:misc_RNA Metazoa_SRP Metazoan signal recognition particle RNA